rnacentral:rRNA from 1 species
GACUUCUGGUUUAAUGCACCUGGCCCGCGGCCCACAAGGCCUGUGAGUGCCGGCGCGCGUUUACCAUCCUUCCAGCAACGGCUACCCUUAACUGGGCGGCUGGAACUGGAUCUUUUACGUUUAAAGCAGGCGUUUGCUCUGAAUACAUUAGCAUGGAAUAAUAAUCUAGGACUUCGGUUCUAUUUUGUUGGUUUCUAUAACUGAAGUAAUGAUUGAUAGGGAUAGUUGGGGGUGCUAGUAUUGGCCGGUCAGAGGUGAAAUUCUUGGAUUCGGUCAAGACUAACUUAUGCGAAAGCAUU